UACGUGAAACCGCUCAGAGGUAAACGGGUGGAUCCGCAAAAGUCGGCCGGCAGAAUUCAGCGCGGCGCGCGGCUCCGGGGCUGCUGUAGUCUGGGAUCCCUUGGACCCAACUGCGGUGCUGCGCCGGGCCCCGCCGUGUGCACUUUCUGCCGGCAGAGAGCCACAACCGGUUCGGCGUUGUGGCGGUGAGAUGUCAGGUGGGGUUGUAGGUGGGGGCGCUUGCGUCCCUACCAGCCCUAUUUGUCGAGCCGCCUCCGGACCGAGGAACUGCCAAGCGCUUCGAGGCCACCCUCCUCUCGGGGUGAGUUCGACUGGGAGAGACUGGGCAACCGUGUCUCCUGAACGCUUACUUUCGAUCAGCGCGGGGCUGGCCGGGCGCAUUCAGUGUGGGUUUGUGGCGAGUCUGUCGGCACUCCACCCGACCCGUCUUGAAACACGGACCAAGGAGUCUAACAUGCGCGCGAGUCAUUGGGUGGUACGAAACCCAAAGGCGCAGUGAAAGCGAGGUCGGUCAAACGCCUAGGUGGGAUCCGUCCCCUGAAGCUCUCUCCGAGGGUCAUUGGGGGGCGGCGCA
rnacentral:rRNA from 1 species